ACAAAAUUAAUAUCAGACAGGUUGAAGUAUAUAUAUCUCUGACAGCAUGUUAACCUGCAUUUAGACUUUCGGGACAAAGAUCGGUGCGUCGUCGUCGUGUGUGUUGUAUGUUGUUGGCUCAACGCUAUGCAUUGAAAGUGUAAAUAUAAUAAAAGCUAGCAAGGAUUUCCAAAAAGGACACUCUCAAACUCAAGCCGUUUUAAAUCGGUGAACGUUCUUAUUGGAACAAACCUUUGUGGAUUCUCGGGACAUUUUGUGAAGAACUAAACUUCUCGGUCUGGCUGCAACAACUGUCAGAACUAAAAGAGAUUGAGAUGGGGAUAAAAUAAGAGAAUCUGCAAAAUCUUCUACAUAAUUAGAUGCUAAGACGAUGACUCGUACAAAAGUGCUUUGAUGAUCAAAAUGGAAUCCUUGCUUAUUAUGAUGAAAUGAAAAUUAAAGCAGCCAACGAAAAUGCAAGUAGUAAUAAGGCCACAGACACGAAUGAAGCCAGGUUUGAGAGAUUCAAAGUAAAAGCUAAAAAAUGGUGUGUGUUAGGUUUUAAAUAUUUGAGAUUUAAAUUUACCUAACUGAAUCGAUCCUUAGCAAGAUUCCCUAAUUUUUUCUUUCAUUUUUCUUCUUUUCAACAUUUUUAGCUUUGUGGAUUCUCGGGACAUUUUGUGAAGAACUAAACUUCUCACGAAUAGAGAAUUUUAGUUUUUAAAUAGAAAAAUUUUUGGAAAUACAAUUUUAUAAAAAAAAAUGUAGACUUAACUUUCAAUGUCCCCCUAUUUUCGACAACAUAAUAAUUUGGACAAUUCUCUAAACCCUCAAACCCUCUCAGAAGUCACAUCCAAACACAAUUUUGUUUCCAUUUUAAGUGCCUAAAAACAAUGGAUUUUAAUAUUUAAGGUUUUCCUGCAGCCGUCAUAAAUUUUACCUUUUGAUUGACUAGAAAUUAAAUUUUUUGUUGAAGGACAAAUAUGUAAUAAUAAAUCACAGAAUCUCAUCGCGAAAGCAAAGUAUUAAAAUAAACUACAUUCGAAUUUAGUUGUAAUAAUAUAAUUUAUUUUAUGUAACAUUAUUCUUAGUGCAUUUUGUUUUUUUUUAGUUUCUUUCUUUUGCAUUAUAAUAUACAAUAAACGGUGCUGUACAAUUAUACAUAUAUGUAAAAUAUUGUAAAUUAACUAUAAAAUUAAAUAAAUAACAAAUAUAUUUUAUCAAUACAUAAUUUAACUAUACAUAUAUAAUAUUUUAAUUUUCGAACUACAUAAGAUUAAAGAUUGUUGUUUAAAAUAAUAAAUUAAUUUAUAUUUUUAUAAUUUUUUUAGUUUUUAGAUCUUUAUACUUAGUCUUAUACAUUUUUCUGUUUGCUCAUAUUUUAUUUAUCAGUUGCCUUUUGUCAAAUAUUUAAUUUUUCUUUUAUAUGAAUAUCUUCAUAAUAUGGUUUAUAAUAAAUAUAUGUAUUUAUUUGUUUAUUUUUAUUUUAUAUGUUGUAUGUGUAGAGUGAUUGAUUUGUUUAUAUAGGCUGAUUAGAAUGAGGCGGACUUAAUAUCAUUAGUUUCAUUCUUUUUUUCUUGUUUUUGCUUUUUUUUAUAGGUACGGCUAGUAAUUUAUUAUUUAAUUUGGUUUAGAUAAUUUAUAAUAUACAAAUCGAACUUAAAUUUAUCUUUUUGUUUAAAUUUUAAAAUAUUGUAUGUAUAUUUUUAAUAAAUUACAUUUUUGUUUGUAUUUAAAAUAUCAAUACAUGAAAUACUUGUUUUUUUUGUUUUUUUUUUCAAUUCAUUUAACUUUUUAACGAUUAUUUUAUAUUUAUGUAAUAAUUAUAAAAACCAAAACAAGUAAUUAUUGCUUACCAAUUAAACUAAAUAAAAAAUAGGCCAGAUAAAUUUGACUAUCUAACAAAUAAAUCAUUUUUUUAAAUUAAUUUAACAAAUUUUUCCUACAAAUAUUAAUGAAAAUUUCUUUUUCUUAAAACAACUUUUGAUAAAUUAUUUAAACAAAUAAAUAUUUAAAACAUGAAUAAAACAUUUACAUAAUUUUUCUAAUAAAGUAAAAUUUAAAUUAUUCGCUUAUAAAAAGCGAGCCCUGGAUUUCCUUUUUACGGAUUUGUUUUCAUUUUUGGUUAGAUUUGUUUUCCUUUCAUUUUAAGCACAGGUUAUUAAAAUUUCAAGAUGGGAAAAUGUUUGUAUAAGAAGCAAAUUUUGCAAUGCAGAAAAAAAACGUAACAUUAAGCAAUUAAUAAUACCAAUCAGACAUUAUUUUACGGAAGUAUAGUCUUCUUUGAUGGAUUAGUUCGUUGAAAAACUUUGUAUUCAGUGUCAUGCUAUUGUGGUCUGUGUUUUAACCUUUAAUCAGAAAUAAAAAUGCUACCGACAACAUUAUUUGGAACAAAUAAUCGAUAUUUUUGGAUGGAAAUUGAAGUAAAAAACGACUCUGACAGAGAUCUCCAAACAUCUCCGACGUGAAAAUGGCGUAGC